UUGGAGGGCAAGUCUGGUGCCAGCAGCCGCGGUAAUUCCAGCUCCAAUAGCGUAUAUUAAAGUUGUUGUGGUUAAAAAGCUCGUAGUUGAACCUUGGGCCUGGCUGGCCGGUCCGCCUCACCGCGUGCACUGGUCCGGCCGGGCCUUUCCCUCUGUGGAACCCCAUACCCUUCACUGGGCGUGGCGGGGAAACAGGACAUUUACUUUGAAAAAAUUAGAGUGCUCCAGGCAGGCCUAUGCUCGAAUACAUUAGCAUGGAAUAAUAAAAUAGGACGCGCGGUUCUAUUUUGUUGGUUUAUAGGACCGCCGUAAUGAUUAAUAGGGACAGUCGGGGGCAUCAGUAUUCAACUGUCAGAGGUGAAAUUCUUGGAUCAGUUGAAGACUAACUACUGCGAAAGCAUUUGCCAAGGAUGUUUUCAUUAAUCAGGAACGAAAGUUAGGGGAUCGAAGACGAUCAGAUACCGUCGUAGUCUUAACCAUAAACUAUGCCGACUAGGGAUCGGACG
rnacentral:rRNA from 1 species